CUGCACUGCAUAUUCCUGAACUAUAGGGCCAAACAUGUACUUUGGGGUUUACCAAAGACAAAAGGCGAGUAAUAUGUUUAAAUUAGCAUACUUUGAUGCUGCAAGUAAUUUUUCCCAAUUUUUAUGUGGCUCUUUGGAUUUAUAACUUCUUUGUUUGGGCUGCUGCACAAUAAUUUUCUUUGUUGUUUCAUUGUGUUUCAUUCUUAUUCCUAGAAAGCUCCAAAUGAUUUUUAACACAUCAUGGUCUAAUAACGUGAAUUUUGUAACAAGGGGCCAGAGGAAGCUUCCUUCCAAGAGCCUUUGACAUAGAAUGGAAUGAAGAUGUUAUACGUAAUAUUAGGUCAUCUAGUUCUAAGAAGAAGUUUCUAGGAAUUCUAGUUUUGAUUUUUAUGGAAAAUUUUAUUCAUAUAUACUAGCUGUAUAAAUUAGGACUAAUUAGUUUCCUUUAUUCUCCUAGUUUCUAGAAGAGCUUCCCAAGCUUGUGUAUAAAUACAUGUUAUUUUCUCAAUGAAAUAUACAAGAAUACAAUUAUUUUCACCAUUGUUUACAUGGUAUCAGAGAAUGACUCAAAAUUCGAAAUUAGGGUUUAUUACAAAAUUGGGAUUUGUAAUUAGGGUUUGUUAUUUAUCUUUCUUAGGGUUCCAUUUUUCGGAAACCCUAUUUAGAGAGUGCUUGGACUCUCACCGCCGACACCAUCAGACUGCCCAGUCGCUGAUCGACAAAACCUCGGAGUUUGGUUGCCGGAAUCCUAGCGCGUGAGCCCCACGCACCGCCUGAAGAAUCGGCGACGACACCCACGCGCCGGCGCGUGCAUGCGCGUGAGCCUCCUUUUUCUAGCUGUUUUUAUGCCGGUUGCCUUUUUCGGUGUAUCCGACUUAGUGCUGUAUUUGUUUCUACCAUCGCUUUCUUGUUUUGUGAUUGUUGAGGUUUGUUCGUCAUCCUUUGUUGUGGUUCUUCCUUUUCUGUGCUCGCUGACCUUGUGUCGUUUCUGCAUCAUGGCAGUCAAUAAAUCUUCUAUUGUGACGGAUGUGGUGCCGGCAUUGUCUAAAAUCACUGACCAUAAACUCAAUAGUUCGAACUAUUUGGAUUGGAGAAAGAUUAUUCGCCUUUAUCUACAAAGUAUUGACAAAGAUGAUCACUUGACUAGUGUUCCUCCAAAAGCAGAUUCGACGAAGAAAGCUGAUCCGACAUGGCUUAGGGAGAAUGCUCGCUUAUUCCUUUAGAUUCGAAUUCUAUUGACAAUGAGGUAAUUGGCUUGAUCAAUAAUUGUGAAUUUGUUAAAGAACUAAUGGAUUAUUGGAAUUUUUGUACUCCGGAAAAGGAAAUCUCUCCUGUAUGUAUGAGGUGUGCAAAGCAUUUUAUCGUGUGGAAAAACAGGAUCAAUCCCUCGUAAACUAUUUUAUGGCAUUCAAAAAAACGUACGAGGAACUUAAUACGUUGUUGCCCUUUAGUCUUGAUGUGAAGGUUCAACAUUGUCAGUGGGAGCAGAUGGCUAUCAUGAGUUUUCUAGCUAGGCUCUCCUUUGAAUUUGAUUCUGCUAAAACACGUUCGUUUUGGGUCUGAUAUCUCAUCUUUGCAAGACGUUUUUAGUCGUGUUCUCCGCACUGAAAUUACUUCAUCUGUUCUGCUUACUGGAGCUUUGGUAAAUCGCAGUAAUAGUGAUGCGCCUGGGAGAUCUUCUACCUCAAGUGGACACAAAGGGGGAUAUUCACAAGGAUUUGACAAUCGAACAUCGGAUUCUGGAGACAUUUUUGCAACUAUUGUAAAAUGCCCGGUCACACCAAAUUUGAGUGUAGAAAGUUGCAGUUUAAAAAUUAGCAAAGACAGUUCGCUAAUGUUGCAAACACUAGUGAUGGAUCUAAAAAAUCGGUCGUUAUUUCUGCUGAUGAAUUUGCCAAGUUCUCACGGUACUAGGAAUCACUUACGUCGUCAUUUCCUUUUGUCACUUCUAUUGCUGAUUCAGGUAAAAUUGUUGCAUGCCUUCUUUCCAUAUCUUCAAAAUGGGUCGUUGAUUCUGGUGCCACAGAUCACAUGACAGUUAAUUCCAGUCUCUUAUCUAUUUUUCAGUCUUAGUUCCACUUCUAUUGUUACCUUAGUUGAUGGGUCAUCAUCUUCUGUUCUUGGAUCUGGCACUAUUACUCCUACACCUCUGCUUACUUUGUCAUCAACCUUAAGAUUAUUGGUAAAGAACAUGAAUUUGGCAGCCUGUAUGUUCUUGAUCCACUGCCACCAACUUCUAUUGCUUGUUUGAGUGUCACUUCUGCUUUUGAGGCUCGUUGUCGGUUUGGCCAUUCAUCCAUUCCUUUGCUCAAGAAACUCUCCCAAAUAUAAUAAGGUGUCUUCAUUAGAUUGUGAGUCGUGUCAGUUUGCCAAACAUCACCGUCUUAGUUCGAGUCAAUAAACGUGCUAGUGUUCCUUUUGAAUUAGUUCAUUCUGAUGUUUGGGGUCCUUCACCUAUUUUGUCUAAAUCUGGAUUUAAGUAUUUUGUUACUUUUGUAGAUGAUUAACCUCAUGUAACUUGGUUACAUUUAAUGAAAAAUCGAUCUGAGUUGUUUUCUAUAUUUUGUGUAUUUUGUGCUGAGAUUAAAAAUCAAUUUCAUGUUUCUGUUCGUACUUUGUGAAGUGAUAAUGCCAAAGAAUAUACAUCUGCUUUAUUUCACUCAUAUAUGGUUUAACAUGGCAUACUUUAUGAAACUUCUUGUGUUGAUUCUGCAUCCCAAAAUAGUGUAGCAGAAGGUAAAAAUAGACAUCUUGAAACUGCACGUGCUCUCUUGUCUCAAAUGCAUGUUCCAAAACUUUUUUGGGUCGAUGCAGUUUCUACAGCAUGUUUUCUCAUUAAUCGCAUGCCAUCCUCUGUUCUUAAUGGUGAGAUUCUCUAUAAAGCUCUUUUUCCCGGCAAGUCAUUAUUUCCGAUUGAUCUGAGGAUAUUGGUAGUACUUGUUUUGCUCGGGAUGUUCGUCCACAUGUCACUAAGUUAGAUCCUAAAUCAUUGAAGUGUGUUUUUCGGUUAUUCUCGUCUUCAGAAAAGUUACAGAUAUUAUUGUCCUAGUCUUAAUAAAUAUCUUGUCUCAAUUGAUGUUACCUUCAUAAAAGAUACACCAUACUUUCCAUCCUCGCCUAUUCUUACUAGUCAAGGGGAGGAUGAUGGUUUGUUGGUCUAUCACAUCCUCUGGACCUAUCUCGACACCAGCUCCUGCUCAGUCUUUUAUCAUUCAAGUCUACUCCAGACGUCCACCUCCUGAUUCAUGUUCUGCACCUGCUCCUUGCAUUGUGCAAAGGUAAAUGCCUGUGUACUUAUCCUUUUUCUUGUUUUGUUUCGUAUAAUGACUUGUCUUCUUUUGUUCUUUUAUUGCUUCCCUUGAUUCUUUAUAUAUUCCUAAAACUGUCCGUGAAGCAAUCUCUCAUCUUGGUUGGCAUAAUGGAAUGAUAGAAGAGAUGAAUGCUUUAGAUGACAAUGGUACUUGGGACUUGGUAGAUUUACCUUGAGGGAAAAGGGCUAUAGGAUGCAAAUGGGUGUUCGCAGUUAAGGUCAAUCCUGAUGGAUCAGUGGCUCGAUUGAAGGCUCAUCUUGUCGCUAAAGGCUAUGCUCAAACCUAUUGUGUGGACUAUUCAUAUACUUUUUCUCCUGUGCAAAAUUGACAUCUAUUCGGUUAUUUAUUUUGAUGGCAGCUACUCAUAACUGGUCUUUGCUUCAACUUGACAUCAAUAAUGCUUUUCUUCAUGGUGAUCUUCAGAAGGAGGUAUAUAUGGAGCAACCUCCUGGUUUUGUUGCUCAGGGAGAGUAUGGAUGGGUUUGUCGUCUUCAAAAAUCUUUAUAUGGUUUGAAAUAGUCCUUGUGCUUGGUUUGGAAAAUUUAGUUAAACUGUUGAGAAAUUUGGUAUGAUGAAAAGCAAGUCUUACCAUUCGGUGUUCUACAAUCAGAGUUUCACACGAAGGAUUUGGGGGUGCUGAAGUAUUUCUUGGGUGAUGAAGUUACGAGAAGUAGAAAAGGUAUCUUUCUAUCUCAAAGAAAAUAUGUCCUUGAUUUGUUAACUGAGACAGGAAAACUGGGAGCAAAGCCUUGUAGUAGUCCAAUGAUUCUGAACAUGCACCUUACGGGAGAUGGGGAACUAUUUGAAGAUCUUGGGAGAUAUCGAAGAUUGGUUGGUUCCAAAAUGGAUAGAAGAUCCACUUCGGGUUAUUGUUUCUUUGUUGAAGGGAAUUUGGUCUCAUGGAAGAGUAAGAAGCAAAACGUUGUGACACGAUCCAGUGUAGAGUCAGAAUAUCGAGUUAUGACACAGUCUGUGUGUGAGAUACUGUGGAUAUAUCAGCUCUUGACUGAAGUAGGACUUAAAAGUUCAGUACUAGCAAAAUUGUGGUGUGAUAAUCAAGCUGCUCUUCACGUUGCAUUUAAUCCUGUAUUUCAUGAGCGAACUAAACACAUUGAAAUUGAUUGUCAUUUUGUUCGCGUGAAAAUUCAGGAAGGUUUAAUUUCCACAUGAUAUAUGAAGAUUGGAGAACAACUAGGAGACAUUUUCACAAAAGCUUAAAUGGGGUGCGGGUUGAUUAUUUUUGUAACAAGCUUGGCAUGAUUAACAUACAUGCUCCAGCUUGAGGGGGGGUGUUAGAUAUAUAUUAGUUGUAUAAUUAGUUUUAUUUAUUCUCCUAGUUUCCUAGAAUAGCUUCUCAAGUUUGUGAAAAAAUACAUGUUAUUUUCUCAAUGAAAUAUACAAGAAUACAAUUCUUUUCACCAUUGUUUACGGGCUACA